GUGUCAGCCGCCGCGGUAAUACGGAGGGUGCAAGCGUUAAUCGGAAUUACUGGGCGUAAAGCGCACGCAGGCGGUUUGUUAAGUCAGAUGUGAAAUCCCCGCGCUUAACGUGGGAACUGCAUUUGAAACUGGCAAGCUAGAGUCUUGUAGGGGGGGGUAGAAUUCCAGGUGUAGCGGUGAAAUGCGUAGAGAUCUGGAGGAAUACCGGUGGCGGAGGCGGCCCCCUGGACAAAGACUGACGCUCAGGUGCGAAAGCGUGGGGAGCAAACAGGAUUAGAAACCCGCGUAGUCC
rnacentral:rRNA from 1 species